rfam:Tropicibacter multivorans strain CECT 7557 genome assembly, contig: 0012
UUGCUGCCACAACGGCUUCCUGGCGUGGCAGUGUUUUUCCAAUGGAGCA